GAUAGGAUGUCUGAAUUUAAGGUAGUAAAUUGUAAGUUUAUUUAUGGUUAUUAACCUCUUAUCA
rnacentral:tRNA from 1 species